CAGGCUGCAACUCGCCUGCAUGAAGUCGGAAUUGCUAGUAAUCGCAGAUCAGCAUGCUGCGGCGAAUACGUUCCCGGGCCUUGUACACACCGCCCGUCACACCAUGGGAGUCGGUAACACCCGAAGUCGGUAGCCUAACCGUAAGGAGGGCGCCGCCGAAGGUGGGAUUGAUGACUGGGGUGAAGUCGUAACAAGGUAUC
rnacentral:rRNA from 1 species